GAUGAACGCUAGCGGCAGGCUUAAUACAUGCAAGUCGAACGGUAAGUUUGGUAGCAAUAUCAAACCAAGAGUGACGUACGGGUGCGUAACACGUAUGCAACCUACCUUGUACAGGAGUAUAGCUCGGGGAAACUCGAAUUAACCCUCCAUGAGAUCACAGUGUGGCAUCACACAGUGAUUAAAACUCAGGUGGUACAAGAUGGGCAUGCGUCUGAUUAGAGUUGGCGGGGUAAUGGCCCACCAAGACGAUGAUCAGUAGGGGACCUGAGAGGGUGAUCCCCCACACUGGCACUGAGAUACGGGCCAGACUCCUACGGGAGGCAGCAGUAGGGAAUAUUGGUCAAAUGGAUGCAAGUCUGAACCAGCCAUGCCGCGUGCAGGAAGAAGGCGUUAUGCGUUGUAAACUGCUUUUGCC
rnacentral:rRNA from 1 species